AUGAUGAUCGUGGGAGAGACUGGCCGCACUGGCUGGCACCGAAGGAGCAAGUCCCAAAAACCCUUGGGAUUAAUCUCUCAGGUAAAGAGUACCACGAUUGGACG
rnacentral:ncRNA from 1 species